CGCGUCCGUAGCUCAGCUGGAUAGAGUACCUGGCUACGAACCAGGCGGUCAGAGGUUCGAAUCCUCUCGGACGCGUC
rnacentral:tRNA from 1 species